GUCCCUGUAGCGCAUUAGAUAGCGCGUUGGACAUGUAAUCUGAAGGUCGUGGAUUUGGAUCCCAUCUGGGAUG